CUUAAUUUGAAACAAUGUUGUUUGUUUGGGGGACAUCCAGAAAUUUCAGUUUUAAAUAAUGAUAUAUUAGCUGCAGGUGUAACAGUACCUAUGCAUUUAUUGCUUCACAGUCUAGCAGUGUUUGUGAGAAAAACUGGUGGAUCCUGCAGAUUAACUAUGGACAGCCAAAUAUUGAGUAAAGUGAUGUCUACAACAGCAUCAGCUAUGCCUGAUAUGGUGUUAAUUCACAUUGUGAAGUCCUCAAUAGGAAAAAGAUGCCUCCCUGGUCAACCUUCCUGGAAAGUAUGCAUAUCAUUACUGCUUAGAUUUUGUUGGAGAGAAAUCACACUACCAUCAAAGACAAUGGGUCAAAAAGAAUGCCGUCCUAAGCUGAGAAGCCAUCUUCCUAACGACAGCCAUGUAAUAUGAAAGGGAAAAACACACUGUUAUUGAAGAACUUAUCAGCUAUGUCACAACUUCCACACAAAUACUCAGGAAAGUUAAAAGAAAAUUUUACCUCGGACACAGUUGAUGUACCUCAGUCUUGUACAAAACUUAGAACUCACUAAGUCUGAAAUAAGACUUUAAACUCUCUCUGAGGUGAAGUUGUAAUACAGUGAGAAUGAUAAUAUAUAGUACAUUAGGAUUUACUUACUCCUGUGUUGUUCUGGACUAUAGACUGCCACACACAUCAGAUGCACAUGACUGACAUGUAUAUCUUCAUUUUGCUAUUAUUUGUAUGAACUAAUACAGGAU
ensembl:lincRNA